rnacentral:tRNA from 1 species
GGGUGUAGCGGGGUUGUUGCAUGAGACUCAUAAUCCUUUGGUCCACGGUUCAAGUCCGUGUGGGCCCACCA